AAAAAAAAAAAAAGCAACGUUUUUCACAUGUUUAGGAAAUAAAAACACAGAUAUACAAAAGAAAAAAAAAAAGUGUAGAUUUUUUAAAGACCGUUUUAAUUAGAUGUAAAUUACCUCACCGUACAUACACAGCUGAAGUCCUUUGUUCUCCAGCUGAGAUUCACUUAAGGAAGCAGUGUUUCUUUGUGGUUCCUCCCGAAGCGUGAAAAGCUUUACUCUCUCCUCAAGCCUCAGAAGCGGCUCUGCUGUCAUGAGCGUUAUGCUCUUCAGUACUUCAUUCACACAGCAGUCUCGACUGGAAAGUUUGCCAGCACAGCUACAGUGGAAGAGCUCGUAAAGCCUCCUAGACAGGAUCAAAUUUAGAUCACUACAAUAUAUUACUAUUUAUUGCUUAUAUCAAAACAGCAAUGGAUGUUUUUCUUGAAACUACAUCUACAGGUUUUUGCCAGUGUUGAUUGUUGAAUGUUGUUAUAAUCCUGGUGUUGCCAAGUCAGCAAAACCUUUAAAUAUAAACCGUGCCUCCAGCCCCUGCCAGUCAGAUCACUCCUUGUCCAGGUCACCCAGGACUCAUGCAGCUUCUCACACUUUUAUUCACGUUUAGAGUUGUACCUUGGUGACCUCUGACCAACUAACCAUAAGCUUUUUAUAACUGGAUUAUCUCCUCUUCAGAGCUAAGUGCUCUGGUUACACUGUAUGCAGAGUCUAGUUUUGUUUGUAAGGUCAAACUGUAGAAAACGCUGGAAAUGCAGACUGGAAAGCACAACAAAUUUUUGGCUUGCUCUUAUAGUGUCUGGUGGUGGACAGGACUUGAUUGGAGAUGCAUGGUGAAGGAACCGUCUGCUAACGUUUCAGUACACAUUAAAUUCUGCGUAUUGGAAUUUUUCUACAGUGGUUUGUAUUUCACAGCCUCAAAAAUGAAGACAACAUGAAUAUAUUCACUAUCAGACAAACUGGUAUGUUGAUAAUUAGGAAAAAUUCAAAUACUGACUGAAAAAUAUGUUUAGUAUGUCUAGACCUGUAUGUCUAUUCUAACCUGUAGCCAAGCUUUGCAAGCUAGUCCUGACAGCUUGUAAUUUGUAACCUUUUAAUUGUGAUGGGUUUGUUUUCACAGGAGGGCAGGCAGGUUGCAAACAGCAACAAGACAAGAUCAAAGGCUAACAAUAGGGGAAAAACUGUUGAAUCCGCAUAUCCCUGCCUUUGUUGAUCUACACUAAAUGAAGAGGCAUAAAAACCCAACCUCUGAAACAUUUUGGACAAUAUUAUCAAACCCAGUGCCUGGUAUGCAUACGUAACACCUGGCAUUGUGGUGGAUAACCACAUCUUUCUUUCUGCCAACUCCAGCUAGCUGGGCUACCUGUAAGAGCCUGACCACAGCAGCUUGCAGGGAGAGGAGCAAGAUGAUCAACAGUUUUUCUGAAAGAUAACAGGAGAAGCUCUUCUUUUAACCAGAACUGUCCCUAUCACGUCACAUCACAUGCUUCCAGUUACCCUUUGCUGCAGUGCCACAGCCAAGGAGGCAGCUGGUUUCCUGACUGAUAAAGCACAGUCACGUGCAGAUGAUCAGUCCGGUAUUUCAUCCAUCCCCCUCUCAGCUCAGCUUCUGCUCUUCUGAUCUGGGAGUUCAGCUCUUCCUCCCGCAGCAACAACCUCCACUUCUACAGCUGGUUUCAAUGAAUUUGGGAUAGAUGCCAGUGAGCAUGGGAGAGUCUGCAGCAGUGUUUGGGCAAUCCAAAUUCUCAUCCACCUUUUGCAAUUCAAUCACCUGAGAACCUUGUGAGUAAAAUUCAUGUAGUGAAAUAGUAUUUAGGUUGUAUUUGUGUUUAAUGUGACUGCAGCUAGCUUGGCCUCUGCUAAAACCAUGGACCAACCUUUCUGUUAUGUUUCAGUGUGGUCUGAUAACAAUCACUCUCUAUGGUAUGUAAUAUGUAACCUCUCUAAAA